CAGUUAAGUGUUUUAUUCAGCUCAAAACAUUGUCUUUGAUUAGACUUACCACCUUCCCUUUUGCCCUUUUACAUUAUUUUGGCAGGCUCUGCAGGUGGAAAAGCUCCAUCUCCACUGCAGCUCCAUGAUGUGUGAAAUAGCCUCUCUGUGCGUGCCUGCUUGGAUGCCUUUGAGCUAAAGGAGAAAACUCCGGAGCCAGCCCUACAGUCCCAGUCCAGCUUUGGAUCUGCCUGUGCUCCGUUCUGGCCCCAUGACAGCCCUUUGUACAAGGUGCUUAAGACCACCUCUGAAAAGCUUCUUUGCACAAUUCUGAUGACAUCAGCAGUAAUAAACCCACUGAUGAAGGCAGUUUAACAACAGUUGUGCAACACUGAACCAUGCAAAGGAACCAGGGCAGCUGGAUCAGUUAAGAAAAAGUCAAUGGUGGUGCAGAUGGUGAUGACAGCUCAUACAGAAAUGCUGCUAGAUUUCUAACCAUUGCCUCGAAACACUGAUUUCAGACUGCAGGGCUGUAAUGACAACAUAAAUGAAGGAAUGUCUGCCCUUCUUCUGCUUCAGCACAGGGGGCAACACUGGUGAAAAAAAUUUGCUGGCAAGGUUGAAGAACUCAAAAUUAAACCUCUCUCCCAGCUCUGGAAUUCCCAUUGAUAGUAGUUGAUUCUGCAUAAAGAAUACAGAAACAGACUAAAAGUCAAUACCAAGUGACCAUGCUCAUUAAAGCACUGAAGAUUUGAACAGCAUUAAGCAGAAUUUGCACCUCGUUUUUGUUUAGAAGUCACACAAAAACGGAGUUUAUUCAGUUCUUCACUUCAAGUUUCGAUGGCUGUAAGGAGUUGCUUCCAAAUGAUGUUGGUGUCACACUGGAAUCAGGUGCUCGCAGCUCAAGCACCACACACAGCUCUUACCCACAGGGCAUCACUGGCUUCCUCCACUUCCAAAGGUUAAAGUCACUAGAUGAAAACCGUUGUGUAUUUGGGGGGCACUUGUUCUCCAAAGAUAACUGACAGAGGAAAGGAAAACAAAAAAGUACAGCAUCGUGGAAGCAGCAGAAACCAACUCACUGGAGGUGGCAGAUGGACAGAACACUGGUAGUUAUGGCUAAUAUUUAGUCAUUCUCAAUAAGAUCUGUCCCAGCGUGGGGAGAAGCUGGAAAAUACCCGAGUGCUCUCUGUGGUUUCCUCAGCAGAGGCCUCUGCUGAGCAAAGAGUAACUGCCUGAGACAAGCUCAAAAGCAGGCUGAGCAUUUCACCUUUACAUACCCUUCUAAGGACCAUACACUGCUCCUCUUACAGGCAAUGUUGAGAGGAAAGGAAAUUCCAAAGGGAGAGACAAGUGCAAAUAGAUCUGUCUUAUUUCUAAGGAAAGCAAAAAUCAAGAGCCUUAUGAAAUAAGAAUGUUCACACGUGGUUUGCAAUUAGAGAGUAUUUUAUAUAUUUUGCCAUAAUUUUGUUUAUUAAAGAUUUAAAAGUCAUUUGAGCAGUUGUAUUAGAGGGACUGUGAUUUGCCAAGAGAUUUAAGGUAAACCUUUUGGAUAAUUUCAAAUUGUUUUCUGUCUUUGUUUUUCUGAAUUUGUCAUGCUGAAACUGAACGAAUUUAUUGAUUUAUCAGAAGUGUUUUAUUCUUCAUUCUACAUCUGUAGAGACCUAAACUAUAAACCAGGAAAGCAGUAUAAAAUUGUAUUUGUAAAUAUUUUAGAGAAGACUGCUGUUCUCUGGAACUUUAUGCUGUUUUCUGCUAUUGAGUGCUUUGCAGAAGCUCAUUUGGGAAAUGUAUUCUUUGAUUUUGCUAAUCAAUUUAUCAACAUUUGAAAGACACACAGCUAUUGUGAAGAGCAGUUCUUUCAAAUAUCCAUUUGACUUUGUUGGUGAUGCUUGCUUUAUUCAACUCUGCUCCAGGCAAUUUAAAAUGUACCACUAUAUAAUAAGCAUGGGAAGGUUAGCAUUCACAUUUUAGGGAUAAAACAUUUUGACAGUUCUAGUCUACAUUUGCAUUUAAAAAUCUUAAUGCCUUUGAUUAGACCCUAUGUUUAUCAUAGGAUCUCUUGUAGGCAUUAUUACUGUGAGGUUGUUACCUUUCAGGAUUUGUUCUGGACCAUGUGUUUGUGGGGAAGCACAGAAGCCUGCUCGUUCCACAGACACAUUGAUUUCUGGUUCAUGGUAUGUCUCAUUUUCUGUAAUUUCUGAUGGAGCUCUACUGCUGAGUCAUUUGUGUUUGUUUCUGAGAUUAUUUUUUGUGUGUGCAGAGUUAGGCAGGUACGUAUACAUAGUUCUGUCUAACAUGGUUGCUAUGUUUUUUCACAAGUCUUCAAAUUCUCAAUUUUUGGUCCACAGCAGAAUCCCCAAGGGGACAGAGUCAGGCAUUGUCUGGAGAGAGACAAGAGAUCCUGCCAUGAUAGCCAUUAUCUUUCUCACCAGUGAACAGGUGAUGCUUAAACACAGCAUGUGCACAGACAAUGGCCAGCAUUCUGAGCUCCUGAAAAUGAUCACUGGCACAGGCUGAUGUCUGAAGGACUGGUCACUAAAACUAUCAGUAUUAAUUGCUCCCCUUUUAUUUUAUCCGUCAUCUUUCUGCAUUAGUGACUUUCAGUAGGGAUUCCAGUAACCUGAUAUAACAUCUGCAACACUGCUAUCACCAAGAAAACAUUCAUUCAGAUAAUAAGGCUGUCUCAAGAUACACUGUCUCAAGAGACCUGUGUGUAAAUUAGACCAAGCAAUAGAAAAAACCCUCAAAAACUAACAAACACACUGGUCAAAUACUGCAGACUUUUCAGAAAAGCAGGAAUUAAGCAAAAUAACAUUGUAGGUUUUACAGGAAAAUGUGUUCGAGCUGAAGGUUUUCUCCCUGAUCUUUUAGCCAAUCUCUAGAGACUUCGUGCCAUUAUUAUUAGAUUUACCUUGGGAAGGACAUGGACUCAGGUGGUACCAGAAAUCUUGUGCAGUGAAUUCUCCAGGAGAUCCUUCCUGCAUUAGGCCCCGUUUUUCUAUCUGCAAAGCCCUGAAAACUCAAAUGCCCUCAUAAGCUGCUGUGAACUAUCCUUUUCCAUACUUUCCUUCGCAUUCAGGAGCUGUUUCCUUCUGACUCAGCAUUAAAUAGCAAAGAAGGGAAGGACUUGGAAUUCAGAGAUAGGAUGUGUACAAAGUCAUGGUUCUGAUUGUGGAGGGAACCACUAGUAAAUCCUUUCUGUGGUCCCAGAUUGGUUCUUCCAUUGAAAAACAUCAAAAUCUGAAUUAUACAGAGGUUAUGUAGCACUAUGAGUAAGUACUUUGGCCUUUCAUGUCUUAUUAUGUUGUUAAUUAGUUAACGUUUGUAAAGCACUUCGAAGAUGAAAAGCCCUAUAUAAGUUGUAAGUGUUAUUAUCUCUAGAGACCUAGGUUCAAUUCAAAGGUGCUUAAUUACAUAUGCCAUAAAUUAGACUUAAUGAGUUGUGGAAUCAUAUGUUUUAUGCAAUGCAUGCAGGUUUCUCAGAUCUGUGUCUUGUGGUCUGUUGCAGUACUUCUUUAGGUAUUCAAAGCUGUUAAGAAAAUUACACAAAAAUAGGGGAGAUAAUUUCUAAAAAUAAUUGAGUUGCAUUUCAGCACUAUUCAGGACUUGGUGAAGCAAACUGCCAGGAGCUUUGCUCUGCUGUAUCUAGGGAUUUUCCAGUAACCGACUUCAAAUUGCUGAAGGUAACAGUUUUGGGGGUUUUUUAACUGUGGUAUAGACAAAAUUCUAAUUCAUACUUCUGUAUUUUGACAUAGCAAGAGGGUGCUGAGAGGUAUUGGUAUGGGUGCUGCCCUUCCAGUAACACCCUGAAAUGUCCCACCAGGGGACCUCUCGGUGUUGGGUUAUGUUCACAAGCACAAGAAGAGAAGUUCCCAUCUCUGGAGAUACUAUCAUGUAAUUUCCAACAAGCCAUUACAAGUGGGUAAUGUGCAAAAAGAGGAAGUCACAUUUAUAGGAAAAUGUGGUUUCAUUGGCUUUGCAGAGCUGAGACUUUCCAUGUUAUGUAACUUAACAUAUUUCGUGGCCAGAAAGCUACAGACUUUGCUCCCCUGCAGCCCCAGCACCAGGGCAGCUGUCCAGCGGUGAGCACAGGCGAGUUCAGAGACACAGAAAACCAGCAGGAUCAUCCACCUGUUCUAAAGUGGCUCCCACAUGUUCCUGCAGCAGAAUACAUCCAUUUUACCUUGAGCCUUUCACGGGCAUAUAGAGAGAGGCAGGAUUUAUCCUGCUUAUAAAUAUGUUAGGAGUGAUUGUGUUCAUUAGUACAACCUAAGUAGAUUGGAAAAACUAAUUAAUAGCAAUUUACUAUGAGCAUCUCUAACAGACUUACUUCAAAGUAUUUAUCCUGAAGUGGAAGUUAUUUGAUUUGGUUAAUGUUUUAUUGUAAGCAUAUGCAGACUGUCUUCCAGGGGAAAAUGUAUUUUUGAGUACUCCAGACAAGUGAAACUGGUGAGCCCGCAGUCCAGAGAAAGCAUCUGUAACCGCAGCCAAAAGAGGAACGAGGUUUCCGACGUUCUUUCAAGACAUGUGUUUGAAGCAUGGGUUCCCAUCACUUUCAGAGUCACUUGCAGGCCUUUUUCUUUAUAUAGAUUUAGACAAGUCGAUGUGGGCCUAGAUUCAGCGUGAUGAAUGCCUUUGUGGUUUCCCCCUCGUCUGUUUUCCCCUGGGCUAUUUAAUCACUUAUUUCGAACAAGAGUAUGUUCUCAAGAAACUUGAAAUGGGACAAAGCAUAGUUUCUGACAGUGUUUAUCACUCAUUUUUCAUAUUUCUAAGAAAUGGAUCUAGUCUUACACCUUAUUUACUGGGGCACAUCGCCUUCAAAAACAAGAUAUAGUUUUACUGAAUACUUUUCAUAGACUCUAAUAAAUAGGAACUUCACAUGAAUGCUGAUUUGAGCUCCACACCAUGGUUAAAACAUUUAAAUAGUAUAGCAAACUUAUCAACAAACCUUUCCUUCCCCACCCUUCCCCCUUCCCUUUUUACAGUGAACAGAUUUUUAUCUGACUAGCACAUGACUUGGGGAUUUUUACAAGCACAUUUAGGAACUUGUCAAUUAUUUGAAAACUUGAGCCUGAAAAUAAAACACCCCCCCCAACUUAAAAGUCCAGUAUUUUGUAUAGUGUGUACAAAAUGGGUAAAAUUUUGACUUGCUGAAGUACCUACAGGGUUCUGUUCUCUGACCUAAUUAUCACUACUUAACUAGGAGUUUGAUUCCUAUUUUUAAUACCCCAAGACACCACACAUACUGGUGUAACUCAUUGAGGUACCAAAUCAGUGGACCUAUAAGACACUCUUCAUUUCUAAACUCCUGUAGUCUUUUGUCAAAAAAAGAAUAUUCAUGUUGUUUUUAUUUCAUCUUGGCAUUUUAAGUCUCCUUUCCUCCUCUGCUUCCAAGAUGUUAGUGACAUACUCUGGCAGUGAUAUCACUGUUGCUCAAACAUCAGUGAAGAAGCUCUCUGAGCAAGUGAGACAGUUGUGAGCUCAAGCAGCUGCACUGAACUGCGUGUUCAGAGAUGUGAGGCAGCAGGAACGACUGUGAGAGCGCUUUUAUGCAGCCAGGCCUCCAACUCCGACCAAGUGCUGAUGGCUCAUAAGGGUGCUCUUUGGGAAAACAAUUCACGGGCUACAAAAAGUGUGUAUGGAGAAACAGCUUGGUAAAUUAAUAUCCAGGAAAGAACUUCUGGUCACUCAGUCAUUAUGUCUGCUGACCCAGUUAGGACUUCUACAAAAACAGUUGACAUCCCUUUGGCUGUGACUUCCCUGGUCAUUUUCCUGUUUUAAGUCCCUAAUUUAACAAAGGACUGAUCUCUCUCUCUCUGAGAGUCUUUGACUGUGGAAAAAUUGCCCAUGAGGUCUGGAAGACUUCUGGAUCAUUAUUGCCACCGACUUCCUCUCUCUGUGAGCAAAGAGUUAUCAGAGGUCAGCUGCAGAGUGGAAAGUGUGGCAGUAAAUUGUGAGGCAAACAGGGAAGCAAAUGACCACUAUCUCCCAGUUUCACAAGAAAGAAGUCAGAAAUACCAUAACCACUGAAAGGCAUCUUGAAUAAAGAAACACUUCGGUGGACCCUGUGUUCAGGAAACCCCAAGUCCUGCUGAAUUGGUUUGGAUUAAGAGAGAGGAAAAGGAGAGGACUCUUGGUAAAAUAUGAGGUAUAGACAGACAUACCCUAGUCUUGUGGCACCCAUGAAUAGAUCCAGUGAGCCUGUGCAGCUGUGUUUUGAUCAGCAGAGAAGUUUCCUGGCAUCCGAGAACUGAAAUCACCUUUUGGGUCAUCACACCUCACUGGAGGUUUCCCUGGCUUAAUGAGCAGCUCUGAAACCAGAGAAAGUACCAGACGAUGGAGGGCAUUGUACAUUCUUAUAUUUGAAAGCCACUCCAUAGCAUCCACAAGAGGAUUCUUGGCACCUGCCUAGUUAAACUGAAUGUCCAAUGUUAUCUCUCCAGGCAAGUAAGAUUCUGGCAAUCACUGUAGUCCUAUUUCACUCGUUCUCAGUCUUUUUGACACCAACACAUUAAUUCUCCCAAGCUCCUUUGGCAGCUGUAAGGAGUUCUCUCUUUUUUUUUUUUAAUAUGAUUGAUAAUAUUGAGUAUUUCUUUUAACCUUUUACUGCCAUUGCUGGGCUAGGUGAUAGUUCCUAUGCUCCGAUGUUAAUCUCCACUACACAGUAGCACAUCUUCUGAUCACCUACUCAUCAUGGAGCUCAUUUGCAAAAUGCUGCUGCUUAAUUUACAAAGUGUAAGAAGCUCCACCUGGAAUUAGCCCUACAACGUGUCAUUCUCCCAAUACUCCCACUGUCAAAGGUCACAUAAUGCAAAUUGCUUUAUGCAGAAACUCCUUCUAGUUUAACACAAGGAAUGGCAACCCUUGGACAAAAUGUGACUAUAUAGUUUCAUAUGAUGCACUGGAAAGAAAUACAUCCUAGAAAGGGUGCAAAUAAUGCAGCUUCUCUGGUUCAAUGCAGGAUAUGACCCAACUGAAAUAUACUGGUAAAAAAUGUCAUCAUUUUCUUCACUUCCAAAUUCUCAGGGAAAAAAAAGAAAAGGAAAAAAAGGUUGUCUGAGGAGACACAAAUAUAUAAAAACAAAAAGACCUCCCAGGCUGACUUGAAAUAUGUUCAAAUUACACAUCUACUCUCUGCUCCCUAGAACCCAGUAAAUAUUUCUUUGGCCCUACAAAGUGUUUUAGUCUGAACCCAGGAAACCUCAGACUGACCUUGAAAAUAAGAUUCCUCAAUUUUCAAAGUAAAUGUCUUGGCCACAUUACUGGAGGAGUUGCACUUCUCUGAUUGAACGUAUAAAACUUGUGUCUUUUGGCAAAUGGGGUAGAUUAUACUGUGGGGAACUGGUUGUUUUCCCAAUUAACUGACCAUAGGCACUUUCAGACUCUCUUUCUCAACUUUUACACCUCAGUACAAUGCUGGUGGCAAGGUUAAAAUAUCUGUAUUGGGCCAUAAGGGGCAGGGUUAAGCCUGUGAAAAGCAGUAGAGUGGAGAUACACUGACCUACCUUGCUAAGCAUCCAGAGCAUAUCUCCAGAGAUUUUAUUCUGUCUUCUCCUCAGGUUGUACUGGAUGGCUUAACAGCUUUUGAUGCUGUAGCAUCCUUCCAGCUUAGCUUGAAUCCAGUUUGAGAUUUUAGAUUGUCUGGAUUUGAUUAGCUUUAUCAGUUUAUUUUCUUCUGAUGUUUUUCUCUUCUGCCAGCUGCAUUAACUCUUCUUUCACCCAAGACUCACUCCAUGGUGGGUGUAAUGAAAAUACUCUUUUGCAACAGUCUUUGACAUCAUCUCCUGACAACAUCUGACUUAUAUUCAGGUAUAAACUUCCCAGGUCUGUUUAUCAGUUCUCUGUGGAAAGGUAGAAGUGGAAGUUCCACAAGGAGUGGAGGAUAAAAAAGGUCUCAAAUUCCUCUUCUGAUGACUGGUCAAUGUCUCUCAACUGACGCUGAAAAUCACUGUGAUCGUAGCCUUCCUUUUAAUAUCAGAGCUGCUUUCAGGACCUCAGACAUAACUGCCUUCUGUCCAACAGUCUCGUUUAAAACAGACCAAAAUAAUAAAGAUGGACACUUUGAUCGAGAUCUGCCAUAUUAAUUGAAUUAAAGCUGGCUUUAAUUCUAACAAAAAAGCAAAUGCAGUAUUGAGUGCUAAAUAAAAUAAGGUGAUGCUUUUUCAAAAUGAGCCUUUCCGUUUUUACUUCAGCUUGAGUUCCUCACUUGAGGCCAACCAUAAGUGUCGGAAUGCUGUCAGCUAGUGUUUCAUGGAGGCUUCUGGUCCAGGGCACCAGUGCAGACAUCCAGCUGCCCAAGCUGUGGCCCUUGCACCCUCUCCAUGUCCUGCUGGCUCCUGUGUGUGCUCAGGGUUUCAUUAGGUUGCAAGUUGUAGCCACGUGGUGCAGAUUUAAGAGCUCCACAGGGCUCAGGUAAUAUCCAUACAUCUGAGAAGGACAAUACUGCUCUCCAAACAGAAUGAACCUUUGAACUUUGUUAGGGUUUUGAUAUGACAUUAAGCCUCAGAUUUAUAAAACCAAACCAGAACAAAAGCGUACUUGCUUUCAUUCUGUGUUCUGAUUUUGCACUAAAUUGUCAGCAAAGCAGACCUUUUACCUAUAAACAGAUGGCACACAAUUCUAUGGGAUUUUCCCACAUUUGAUGAACACACAUCAAGUCCAUUUACAUGAGCAUGGAAAAUAUUAAAAUGACUACCAGGUCUGCAUAGUGUAAGACACCUGGAGCACAUUGCUGCCAGCAAGCUUCUGAGGUGGGGAUAUUCUGGCACACAGUCACAGUUCUGGGGACUGGGCCAUUUUUGACUCAGGUUAUUGCAUCUUUUGACACCUAAAGACAUGUUGACCUCUGACCCAGAAACAUCUGCAACGUCAAACUAUAAAAUCGGGAAUGGAAAUGUAGCCUUUUUUCCCCCCUUACUGUUAUUUUUAUUUUCUAUUGAAAAGGGUUUUAAAAGGCCUAUGAAAUGUAAAAUUGCUUUUUUGCCAUAGUUGCAAAACUCAUUUCAAUUUUUAUCUGAGAUGCACUUGUAGAAAAUUUCCAGAGUUGAAAAGCUAAUACAACAACCCCACUCUGAGGACCAGAGUCCAAAGCCCUGAGCACCGCCCAGCCUUCAUCUCUGGGGGCCUGAGGAAAAUGGGAGGGGUCUGUCACAGUGACCAGCCUAGUCCACACUCCCUCCAUUCACCCCUGCUUUUCUCCAACAGUUUAUAUUGCCUGCAAAGUUCUUGCAUAUUCUGACUUUCCUUCCUAAAGUAGCUCUGGCUGAUUUUAACUCACCAAGCCCUAACUUUUGCUUCUUCUGUGCAGGCAAAAGUGAUAAGUGAUAAGGCAAAAGCAUCACUGCUGCUCCUCUGACAUGGCCCAUCCUGGGAAUACCAGCCCUGCUGGUGUCUGCACCAGUGACUGUAGUUUCUUAUACUGUAUACUAAUGCCAACUGAAGUCUUCCUUUCACCUUUUUCAUUGCUCCGGCAACUUAUGUGCACAGAUUUUAUUUUAAUUAAUUUUACCUAAUAACUUCCGCAUGAGAAAACUGAGCUGAGACCUUUGUGUGUGUCAGUGUUCCCUCCUGUAGAAUGAAUUUGUGUGGUUUGUAGUAAAAUGUGACUAUCUUUGCAUGAAUGGCACUAUAGAAAUCCCCAGAAUUAUUGUAGUCAAUUUUUUGUUUCAUUUAACAUGAGAGGU